GCGGCGUGCUUAAGACAUGCAAGUCGAGCGGGCACCUUCGGGUGUCAGCGGCGGACGGGUGAGUAACACGUGGAUAACCUGCCCUUUGUUCCGGGAUAACAGGCCGAAAGGCCUGCUAAUACGGGAUAAGCUCACGGCCCUGCAUGGGGCUGGGAGAAAAGGCGCUGNAAGGCGCUGACAGAGGAGGGGUCCGCGCCCCAUCAGCUAGUUGGAGGGGNAACGGCCCACCAAGGCGACGAUGGGUAGCCGNCCUGAGAGGGCGACCGGACACACUGGGACUGAGACANGGCCCAAAAUUCUACGGGAGGCAGCAGUNGGNAAUUUUGCACAAUGGCCNAAAGGCGUGAUGCAGCAACGCCGCGUGAGUAGAAGAAGGCCUNCAGAAUUGCAAAGCUCUGUUUGCCCGUGAAGAACGGGGUGGACAGGAAAUGNUACACGUUUGACGGUAGCGCNAGAUGAANCCCNANCAAACUACUGUGCCAAGAGCCGCGGUAAUACCA
rnacentral:rRNA from 1 species